rnacentral:rRNA from 1 species
AGAACGAACGCUGGCGGCAUGCCUAAUACAUGCAAGUCGAACGAGACCUUCGGGUCUAGUGGCGCACGGGUGCGUAACGCGUGGGAAUCUACCCUUGGGUUCGGAAUAACAGUUGGAAACGACUGCUAAUACCGGAUGAUGACGAAAGUCCAAAGAUUUAUCGCCCAGGGAUGACGCCCGCGUAGGAUUAGCUAGUUGGUGAGGUAAAGGCUACACCAAGGCUACGAUCCUUAGCUGGUCUGAGAGGAUGAUCAGCCACACGUGGGACUGAGACACGGCCCAGACUCCGUACGGGAGCAG